rnacentral:rRNA from 1 species
UACGUAGGGUGCAAGCGUUAAUCGGAAUUACUGGGCGUAAAGCGUGCGCAGGCGGUUAUGUAAGACAGUCGUGAAAUCCCCGGGCUCAACCUGGGAACUGCGAUUGUGACUGCAUAGCUAGAGUACGGUAGAGGGGGGUAGAAUUCCGCGUGUAGCAGUGAAAUGCGUAGAUAUGCGGAGGAACACCGAUGGCGAAGGCAGCCCCCUGGACCUGUACUGACGCUCAAGCACGAAAGCAUGGGGAGCAAACAGG